rnacentral:sRNA from 1 species
UUCUAGCCCCGAUGGUAGCGGCAUCCUUUUUUGCUGGCUGAGGCUCCCGAAGCCAGCAAAAAAGAUACAGCGGACAGCGGGUGGCAUG